CUUCCAUAACAAGAAGUCCUUUUCCAUGAGAGAUUAUGAAACAUAAAGAUAUAAACAGGGGGAUCAGAUCACUGUCCAAAACAUAAAGAUAUAAAGAUUAAAAUUUUUUAGUAGCAUUAGAUUACAUAAUUACAUUAUAUGAUAUAUAAUUUUAUUUAUUUAUAUGAAAAUUUCUAACUUUGCAACCAAUUAAGGACAAGAGCCCCCUCCACACCCGCCUCCUCUGCCUCUACCUCUACCUCCACCUCCACCAGGCGGUCCUGGAUAUGUAGGUCGUUUUAUCUCCACAUUUGGCGGUUCAGGUUUUGUUUCUGCUCUUUGUGGUUGAGGUUUACUCUUUAGUUCCUCCUGUCGUUUCUUUUCUAAUUCCUCUUGUCGUUUCUUUUCCGAUUCCUCCUGUCGUUUCUUCUCUAAAUCCUGCAGCAUCUGCAAGACAAAUAAUAAAGAUUUGAGUAAUAUUAUCCAAUUUAACAAUUCCAAAUCAAUCUACUAAUUAAUAAUGGUUUGGUUGUAUUAGAGUACUUUGAGUGCCAAAUCUUGAAAACAUUUCUCCACAUUUUCUCUAGUUUUAGCACUGGCUUCAAGAAACAAAAAUCCAUGUUGUUUUGCCAAUUGCAUUCCUUCUUCACUACUUACAACCCUUUCGGACUCCUGAAAUCAUUUGCAAACACCAACAGAGGAGAGGAAAGCUUAACAUAUAAACUUAGAUUUGCAAGGCUGAAUUCUAACAUUGUGUUUGAUAUAAAUGAAUAUUGAAUUCAUUCGUAGGUGAGCAAACGAUUGGUUUGGUUUCGUACUAAAUUGAAAAAAUUUAAAUUCUUGUAAAAUUUCAAAAAUAGAGAGAUUUGGUUUGAAAAUUCGACUCAAACAUAAUUUUACUUAUGAAGCGAACCAUCAAAACAUUGAAUUUUAAGAAAUUUUGAUUCAAUUCAAUUUUUCUCAAUUUUCCUUUAAAAAUAAAAUUGAAUUGAAUAAAUCGGACUUUUGUAAAUUCAAACCAAAUUGAAUUUUUAAAAUAGGACAGUUUGGUUCAGAAAUUUAAUUUAAAUUGAAAUUUACUGAUCUUAAUUAUAUUAUUCAAUAUAGAAUUUCAAAUAAAUUUUUAGUGCAUAUUUAUAAAGUCAAUAAAUAAAUUUCAUAAAAUUUUAUCUAUAACAAACAAGAUCUUAAAUUUCCUCCAUGGAAGAAAAGAAAACUUACUUUAUCAACUUUAUUUCCAACCAGAAGCUUCACACAGUCCUUGUUCGUGGAGUAAAGUUCCACUUCUUUAGCCCACAAGUUUGCUAAGUUGGUAAAGGUUUGUUUCUGUGUCACAUCAUAAACUGUAAUAACAACAAAUACUAAUGUGAAAACUUCUUCUUGAUAAAAGAAUAAUCACAGUGCAGUCAGAAGAUGCUAAUAUAAAAGACUGAAAUACUAAUAGCUGCUUGCAGGGAUUUCACCAAAAACUCAACUGUUUCUACAAUUUUUGACCAGGUUACCAGGAAAUUAAUGCUACCUUUAGAUCCUGUUUAAGGUUCAAACAUGAUACUGUCUAAAAAAAAAUGGAUUGCAGAAAUGUUUAGCGGGUUCAAACAUGAUCAUACUGUCAAAUUUAAUAUUUUAAUCUCUUUUAACUAACAUAUUCAAGAUAUUGCUAGCUUUUCUCGACAAUAAUUCAAACAGUAAUGCAAAUAAAGCAUUAAUUUUCAGACAAAGAUAAUGUUAGAUCCCAUUGCAAGGUAAUUUGUUUCCUACAUUGAAAGUAUGGGAUUUCAAUACGAGAUACUCCAAUCUCAACAGCUAGCUUUUGAGAUUUGAUUCUCCUAAGUUCGUAUCACAUAUUGUUUAUAUUGUUUAUGGUCAACAUAAAAGAUUUUCCACAUUAUAUACAAGUAUAUUAUUAAAUAUAGCUAAUGGU
rnacentral:misc_RNA from 1 species